UGGUUAUGCGUUCAUCCUUGGCCAAGACUUCAGUUUUGGUUGGUGGUUAAUUCCGUUAACGAACGAGACCUCAGCCUGCUAACUAGCUACGUGGAGGCAUCCCUUCACGGCCGGCUUCUUAGAGGGACUAUGGCCGUUUAGGCCAAGGAAGUUUGAGGCAAUAACAGGUCUGUGAUGCC
rnacentral:ncRNA from 2 species